CCCCUAGCUAACGGCGAGUGAAGAGGGAAAAGCUCAAAUUUUGAAUCUGGUACCUUUGGUGCCCGAGUUGUAAUCUAGAGAAGUGUUUUCUGCCUUGGACCACACAUAAAUUUCCUGGAAUGGGAUGUCAUAGAGGGUGAGAAUCCCGUUUGUGGUGUGGACUACCUGGGCUCUGUGAUACACUCUCAACGAGUCGAGUUGUUUGGGAAUGCAGCUCAAAAUGGGUGGUAAAUUCCAUCUAAAGCUAAAUAUUGGCGAGAGACCGAUAGCGAACAAGUACCGUGAGGGAAAGAUGAAAAGCACUUUGGAAAGAGAGUGAAACAGUACGUGAAAUUGUUGAAAGGGAAGCGUUUGAAGUCAGUCACAUUGGUCAGAAUUCAUACUGGCUUCUGCCUGGUGUACUUUCUGGCAAAUG
rnacentral:rRNA from 1 species